GUGGCACAUGCCUGUAAUCCCAGCUACUCAGGAGGCUGAGGCAGGAGAAUCACUUGAACCCAGGAGGCAGAGGCUGCAGUGAGCUGAGAUCAUGCUAUUGAACUCCAGCCUGGGCAACAAGAGCGAAACUUCAUCUCAAAGAAAAAAAAAAAAAAGAUCCUUCACUCAAUCACACCUGCCGAGUCCCUUCUGCCACGUGAGGCAGCGUGGUCACAGGUUCUGGGGAUUAGGACACAGCUGUCUUGGGGGCUGUUAUCCUGCCACAGCUCCCAAUCUGGAGAGUUCAUAAGUGGGAUCCUGCAGACCACGCCAGCACAGUGCCAGACACGAUGGCACAGUGACUACUGUACUGCCUCCUCCAUCUGAGGGAUUCUAAAGCAGGAAGGGGAGCCGCCCACAGUCUGGAGAAGGGGUGGGGGCAGCAGGGGGAGCCACAUCUGUCAUCUCUGGGCCCCCAAGAGGGCAUCUUUACUUCCAUUUUCAGCCAAGUUCAAACAGGACAAGGUUCCAUGAAAACUAUUUGAAAAGACAGACAGGGAUUCUUAUAUUCCCAGAACCAUUCAAGGCCAGUAACUGGAAUGUUCUACAGUUCACAUCCUGAGGAAACCAAAUCACAGCAUCAAAUUAUGGGAAAUCAAACUCUUUUUGUUCCCCUGCGAGGACAGCAUUUUGCGACCUUGGCCGCACAGAGGAAUGUUUCAAAUAGUGACCCCUGUCCCAUCCAGUCAUUUUCUUCCAGCCGGGCAGAGAAUCCCCCGUGUUUAAAAAUUUAAUGUGAAUCAGGGCUGAGAAUCACUAACUGAAAAGGACCCUACUUUUAAAUUUAUGAAAUUAAACAAAGAUGAAUUUAAUUAUCAUUAAGGGUUGAAAGUUAUAGACUAAACUAUGUCCAGCCAGAGCAGAGGCCUGAGUAACUUCCAAAGUGGUUUGGUUUUUUUUUUUUUGUUUUGUUUUGUUUUGUUUUUUGAGACACAGUCUUGUUCUAUCUCACCCAGGCUGGAGCGCAGUGGCGCAAUCUCGGUUCACUGCAACCUCCGUCUCCCGGGUUCAAGCGAUUCUCCUGCCUCAGCCUCCUGGGUAGCGGGGAUUACAGGCAUGCGCCAGCACACCUGGCUAAUUUUGUAUUUUUAGUAGAGGCAGGGUUUCUCCAUGUUGGUCA
rnacentral:lncRNA from 1 species